rnacentral:rRNA from 1 species
GAUGAACGCUAGCGGCAGGCUUAAUACAUGCAAGUCGAGGGGCAGCAUGUCCCGUAGCAAUACGGGAUGAUGGCGACCGGCAAACGGGUGCGGAACACGUACAGAACCUUCCUUCGAACGGGGAAUAGCCCAGAGAAAUUUGGAUUAAUACCCCGUAACAUAACGAUGUGGCAUCACAUUGUUAUUAUAGAUUUUUCGCUUAUUUAUGGGUGUGCGGCUGAUUAGAUAGUUGGCGGGGUAACGGACCACCAAGUCUACGAUCAGUAGCGGAUGUGAGAGCAUGAUCAGCCACACGGGCACUGAGACACGGGCCCGACUCCUACGGGAGGCAGCAGUAAGGAAUAUUGGACAAUGGACGCAAGUCUGAUCCAGCCAUGCCGCGUGAAGGAUUAAGGUCCUCUGGAUUGUAAACUUCUUUUAUAAGGGACGAAAAAAGGCUUUUCUAAGUCGUCUGACGGUACCUUAUGAAUAAGCACCGGCUAACUCCGUGCCAGCAGCCGCGGUAACAC